UACAGAGGGGGCUAGCGUUGUUCGGAAUCACUGGGUGUAAAGGGUGCGUAGGCUGUCCGUUAAGUCUGAUGUGAAAGCCCUGGGCUCAACUCAGGAAUUGCAUUGGAAACUGGCGGACUCAGAGUACCGGAGAGGGAAGCGGAAUUCCUGGUGUAGCGGUGAAAUGCGUAGAUACCAGGAGGAACACCGGUGGCGAAAGCGGCUCUCUGGGACGGUACUGACGCUGAGACGCGAAAGCGUGGGGAGCGAACAGG
rnacentral:rRNA from 1 species